CCAGAAUGUUUAGUAAUAUUGGAUUGUAUGUUUCUGGAUCAAGGAUUAUGGCAACAGAACUGGACAAUAAUAAGAAAUGACCUGAGCCCAAGGACCAUGCCCCAGGACUACCUGACAUGAUGACUCCUUGCUGUCCCCAGUCCACCUGGCCGUGCUGCUGCUCCAGUUUCAACUGUUCUGCCUUAUUAUUAUUUGACCAUGCUGGUCAUUUAUGAACAUUUGAACAUCUUGGCCAUGUUCUGUUAUCAUCUCCACCCGGCACAGCCAGAAGAGGACUGGCCACCCCACAUAUGCUCUCUCUAAUUCUCUCUUUCUUUCUCUCUCUCGGAGGACCUGAGCCCUAGGACCAUGCCCCAGGACUACCUGACAUGAUGACUCCUUGCUGUCCCCAGUCCACCUGACCGUGCUGCUGCUCCAGUUUCAACUGUUCUGCCA
ensembl:lncRNA